CCUGUGGAUACUCCCAGGAGGUCAGUCUCCCCAGGCUCUGUCCAGGUGGCAUAGGGGAGCAUAGGGCUCUGCCCCGUGAUGUACAGUCCCUUUCCACAAUGUUGAAAGUGAAGCCAGGCCUUGAGUUUGUGCCUGCGUAUUCCUAUAGCUUCUCAGAAUCCCGUGGACAAUGACUGUCUUAGUCAUCUAGUGAUGCUAUAACA